rfam:Cavia porcellus supercont2_6 genomic scaffold, whole genome shotgun sequence.
ACCGGGCGUGGUCGCGCGCGCCUGUAGUCCCAGCUACUCGGGAGGCUGAGGUGGGAGGAUCGCUUGAGUCCAGGAGUUCAGUGCGCUAUGCCGAUCGGGUGUCCGCACUAAGUUCGGCAUCAAUAUGGUGACCUCCCGGGAGCGGGGGACCACCAGGUUGCCUAAGGAGGGGUGAACCGGCCCAGGUCGGAAACGGAGCAGGUCAAAACUCCCGUGCUGAUCAGUAGUGGGAUCGCGCCUGUGAAUAGCCACUGCACUCCAGCCUGGGCAAUAUAGUGAGACCCUGUCUCUA